GCAAAACUGCAAAUUAACGGAGGAGAAGAAAGGACCUGCAUUUUCAGUAGCUUUCAAUUUUGGCCUAAUUAAAUUUCUUUAAUGCAGUCAGAAAUUAAAGGGAAGCCCAACAACUGGUCCUUCAGGUGAAAGGAAGGUUGAUGUAGAAGCAGGAAGGGCUGGUGCUGAGCUCUGUGCUUCUAGCCCUAAGUUGGUAUUUUACAGUUGAAAAAUGGUAGUUGUAUGACAAGUGCAGGGUUCAUUUCACUUUAUGGCAAUAACAACUUUUUGGCCUAGCGCAGAGAAGGAUAAUAUGCUUCAGGAAAAAGGAAAAGCAGCAAAAGGAUGUAAUGGACAAAAUCAACUGGUUUCUGGGUGGAUCUUUUCCUUCAACCGAGACACGUUAGCACAGCCAGGACCGUGUCGGUGCUCCCAGCUGCAGGAGGUGUGCUCAGCAGACGGACGGAGCGAGGGCAGGCAGGGAUCCGCAGCAGCGCCUGUGCCGGGAUGGCAGGGCUCUCUUGAAUGAAGCCAUAUGUUGUACUCGCGGGGGACGAGAGGCGGCUUGGUCUCGGCUUGGAGAAACAUGGAAGUGUUGAGAAGAUAGACCUGAGUCAAGUUCAGGGUUUCAGCAGUUUUCAGCUCUACUCUCCUUUCUCCUUCAGAUUUUAGAAGACAAGACAUGCUGCAAGAGCAAACAGGAUUGUUUUUUUUUUUUGCAUCAUAUCAUUUACCAAGCAGUUAAACCCCCACAGAUUUUUAGGCUGCUGCCGUACUUUUUUCCGCACUUCAAAGGAUUAAAAUUGAACACGUUCCAAGUGAAAAGUAACAGCCCAAACUGACAAAUCAAACUAGAUGUAACCCUGUGUUUCAUUAUUAAAGCUUGAUGUGUUCAGGCUCAGUCUCCCUGGCACAGGGAGGCUCGUCCUGCCUCCCUGUCCGAGGAGGAGCUCGGACGUCUCUCCGUACCCACAGCCGUGGGCUCGUGGCAAGUCUCCUGCAACACCUACCAGCUCAAGCCUUGUUUGGGCCGUUCCUCGUCUCUUUCAUGAUGAGGCACUGGACAAGCAAGUGUUACGUCCAUCAGUGAGAGGGCAUUACCUGUAGGAGAAGGCUGACAUCUCUCCUGGUUUUAGAGGCAUCUGUGGUGCCUCCUGCAGGGGCGGCCUCCAGGCUGGCUGUGGCAUGGCGUUAGAGGUGACACAGCUGUAACCUCCGGCAGCUGCCAGCCCUUCUUGGCCAAAUAAAGUGACUGUUUAAGCCUACCUCUGUCA
rnacentral:lncRNA from 1 species